rnacentral:rRNA from 1 species
UCGCGAGAGCAAGCGGACCUCAUAAAGUGCGUCGUAGUCCGGAUUGGAGUCUGCAACUCGACUCCAUGAAGUCGGAAUCGCUAGUAAUCGUAGAUCAGAAUGCUACGGUGAAUACGUUCCCGGGCCUUGUACACACCGCCCGUCACACCAUGGGAGUGGGUUGCAAAAGAAGUAGGUAGCUUAACCUUCGGGAGGGC